rnacentral:rRNA from 1 species
GGGGGGGGCGAGCGUUGUUCGGAAUUACUGGGCGUAAAGAGCGAGUAGGUGGUUUAUUUAGUCAAAUGUGAAAGCUCAAAGCUUAACUUUGAAAUUGCAUUUGAAACUGAUAGACUAGAGUUUGGGAGAGGAUAGCGGAAUUCUAAGUGUAGAAGUGAAAUUCGUAGAUAUUUAGAGGAACACCAACAGCGAAGGCAGCUAUCUGGCCCUUUACUGACACUCAGAAGCGAAAGCUUGGGUAGCAAACAGGAUUAGAUACCCUGGUAGUCCAUGCUGUAAACGAUGAGUGCUAGAUAUUAGAAAUUUAUUUCUAGUGUCGAAGCUAACGCGUUAAGCACUCCGCCUGGGGAGUACGGCCGCAAGGCUAAAACUCAAAUGAAUUGACGGGGACCCGCACAAGCAGUGGAGCAUGUGGUUUAAUUCGACGCUACGCGAAAAACCUUACCAGCUCUUGACAUGUUAGGUUAUAGAUUUAAGAGAUUAAAUUUUUCAGUUCGGCUGGGCCUAGUACAGGUGCUGCAUGGCUGUCGUCAGCUCGUGUCGUGAGAUGUUCGGUUAAGUCCGGCAACGAGCGCAACCCUUAUCUUCAGUUACUAACAGGUUAUGCUGAGGACUCUGGAGAAACUGCCGCUGGAAAAGUGGAGGAAGGCGAGGAUGACGUCAAGUCCUCAUGGCCCUUAUGGGCUGGGCUACACACGUGCUACAAUGGUAAUUACAAUGAGUCGCAAAGGGGCAACCUGGAGCUAAUCUCAAAAAAUUAUCUAAGUUCGGAUUGUUCUCUGCAACUCGAGAGCAUAAAGUUGGAAUUGCUAGUAAUCGUGGAUCAGCAUGCCACGGUGAAUACGUUCCCGGGUCUU